AGCUUUGUGCACCAGCAGUAUCGCAGCCAAUGAGGUUUAUCCGAGGUGCAAUUAUUUCUAGUUGAAAAUUUUUCCCAAUAUCCCGCCAUGAUGACUUGAAAUAUAGUUGGCAUUGGCAAUUUUUUGCAGUCUCUACGUGGA
rnacentral:snRNA from 1 species